UACGUAGGGCGCAAGCGUUUAUCCGGAAUUAUUGGGCGUAAAGAGCUCGUAGGCGGUUUGUCGCGUCUGCCGUGAAAGUCCGGGGCUCAACUCCGGAUCUGCGGUGGGUACGGGCAGACUAGAGUGAUGUAGGGGAGACUGGAAUUCCUGGUGUAGCGGUGAAAUGCGCAGAUAUCAGGAGGAACACCGAUGGCGAAGGCAGGUCUCUGGGCAGUAACUGACGCUGAGGAGCGAAAGCGUGGGGAGCGAACAGG
rnacentral:rRNA from 1 species